rnacentral:piRNA from 1 species
UGGUGCCUGGCUAUUGCCUUUGGAUGU